ACCCGGAAGAGCGCUGUCAGCAGAACCCGAUGUGCAGCCUCUCCGACCUCAGACCUGCAGCCUCCAGAACCACAAGAAAUAAAUGUUCAAGCCACCAAAUCUAUGGUAAUUUGUCAUGGCAGCCUGAGCUGAACACAUUUGCUUCUCUGUCCCCGGUGCGAUGAGAGUCUUGCUCUAUCACCCAGGCUGGAGAGCAGCGUUGUGAUCAGGACUCAUUGCAACAUCCACCUCCCAGGUUCAAGUGAUUCUUGUGCCUCAGCCUCCCAAGUAGCUGGGAUUACAGCUGCAGAAUCACAGGAGUGAAAAAGAAAAAGGAAGUUGUUGGCCAGGCGCGGUAGCUCACGCCUGUAAUACCAGCACUUUGGGAGGCCAAGGCAGGCGGAUCACGAGGUCAGGAGAUAGAGACCAUCCUGGCUAACACGGUGAAACCUCAUCUCUCCUAAAUAUACAAAAAAAUUAGGCAUGGUGGCGGGCACCUGUAGUCCCAGCUACUCGGGAGGCUGAGGCAGGAGAAUGGCGUGAACCCGGGAGGCGGAGUUUGCAGGGAGCCGAGAUAGCGCCACUGCACUCCAGCCUGGGUGACAGAGUGAGAUUCUGUCUC
rnacentral:lncRNA from 1 species